UAUCCUCACACAUUAAAAUGUAUACACGAUUUUGAUUUUUAAAUAGCGAACACCCGUUAUGAACACAGAUUCGCAUAUAGUGAAUAUGUCUCUAACCGUUUUGAUAUGCAUAACACCAAUGUCGCGGAUUUACCGGUUAUACAGUUUAACAUUUAGACUAGAUGAGUAUAGGGAAGGAUAACUAAUACAUUGUAUGAACGUUUUUAGAUAUUAAAUUGAUAAAAAUUCCUUACUCCUCCGGAUAAAAAA